AUGUUUUAAUCUCCUGUCAGUCACCUAGAGCCCCGGAAGCAAGACAAGUGGCUGUUAUCAGGACCCUUUGGAGGAUGGUUCUCUGGUGUAGAUUAGCUUGGAAGUCUCAAAGCUUUUUGAUGAAAAUGGAAAUAGCGCUCUUCAGCUGCUUUAUCUGAAUGGUAGGACAGGAGACCAAAAGUCUGUAGCACAGAGGGCUUCCAAAACUGGAUAAUAAGUUACCUGCUCUCCAACCCAGUGUUCUGUGGGAGUGACAGUUGCUUUAGAGAGCAAACCAACACCAUCAAGGGGUGUCAAACUGGCAGCCUGUGGGCUGGAUGUGUCAGACAUAGGCCACAUCCACUCCAUCUCCACAAAUGGAAAAAACAUCGCAAAACAUCAGCACUAACUUACCUGCAGCAUCAGAGCUUUGGCUGUCACCACUGGAACAAUUAGCAUCUCGUUUAGAAUCUUUAAUUGCCUCUCAUUGAUUUACUUAGAACAGGUGUUUGGGGAUUUUUUUAAAAGAAAACAGGUAAAAUGUUUUUUUAAGAGAAAGACAUUACCCACAGUCAGCUAAACAACAGUAAGGUAGUGAUGACAUGAGGGAAUAAAAAGGAACCAUUAACUAGAAGCCUCUCAAUAACUUAGACUAGAGCUAGAGGUAUGCAGAAACUACA